GCCCCGCCCCGGCCCUGCGCCGCCGCCGCCGCCGCUGCUGCUGCCUCCUGCAGCCACCGCCGCCGCCAUGAAGCUGACCGACAGCGUGCUGCGGAGCUUCCGCGUCGCCAAGGUGUUCCGCGAGAACUCGGACAAGAUUAACUGUUUUGACUUCAGCCCCAACGGCGAGACGGUCAUCUCGAGCAGUGACGAUGACUCCAUCGUGCUCUAUGACUGCCAGGAGGGCAAACCUAAGAGAACCCUGUACAGUAAGAAAUAUGGUGUGGACCUCAUCAGAUACACUCAUGCAGCAAACACAGUUGUUUACAGCUCUAACAAAAUAGAUGAUACUAUUCGCUACCUGUCCUUGCAUGACAACAAAUAUAUCAGGUACUUUCCUGGACAUAGCAAAAGGGUGGUGGCCUUAUCCAUGUCACCUGUGGAUGACACUUUCAUUUCUGGAUCUCUUGAUAAAACCAUUCGUCUUUGGGAUCUCCGGUCUCCUAACUGCCAGGGUCUCAUGCAUUUACAAGGCAAGCCUGUCUGUUCUUUCGAUCCAGAAGGGUUAAUUUUUGCUGCUGGUGUCAACUCUGAAAUGGUCAAGCUUUAUGAUCUCCGUUCUUUUGACAAGGGGCCAUUUGCAACCUUUAAGAUGCAGUAUGAUCGGACUUGUGAAUGGACAGGACUUAAGUUCAGCAAUGAUGGCAAGCUCAUACUUAUUUCCACCAAUGGCAGCUUCAUCCGUCUCAUUGAUGCCUUCAAGGGAGUGGUGAUGCACACAUUUGGGGGCUAUGCCAACAGCAAAGCUGUCACACUAGAAGCUUCAUUUACUCCAGACUCUCAGUUUAUUAUGAUUGGUUCAGAAGAUGGCAAGAUCCAUGUUUGGAAUGGUGAGAGUGGUAUAAAAGUAGCAGUAUUGGAUGGUAAACACACAGGCCCCAUUACCUGUUUGCAGUUCAACCCUAAGUUCAUGACGUUUGCCAGCGCAUGUUCCAACAUGGCAGGAGAGAGCCUGUCUGAGGUUACCCGGUAGAUGAGCAGUGAUGCUGGCUUACCUAGACUCAACAGGACUUUUUCUUUACAACACUAAACCACUGUGGCUUUCUGGUUGCCCACCAUUGAUGACUGACUCUGAUGCUGUUUGGCUAAUUCUGAAUUGUGAGGGUGGCCUGCAGGAUAAACUGAGAGAGGACUGAGACAAUAGUGAGAUUGGAUCAUUUGACUGAGCUGGAGAACAUCCUUUAACAUGGCCUUCCCCUGGAUGUGCUGUACAUCUGCUCAAAGGAAAAAAAAUUACUUUGCUGAGCUUCUUCAAAAGGACUCAUGGUGCCACAGAUUCAUUUGGGACUUGGCCUUUGCAGCUGUCACCGCACCAAGCUCCUCCAAAGAAGUGACCAGACUUGUAAUUAGGUUAUAGUGGAGAGCUCAUCACACUUUCAAGUUUGAAUGUAUUUGCUGCUGAGGAGCCAGUGAAAUUGUCAGUUCUGCACAUCCAUUCUCCCACCCCUAUAAAUGCAUGGGAAACCGAAGUUCUGGUUUUGAGAUGCUAGGGAAAUUCAUUGCCUCUUGCCCUUCCCCUGCAUGUGUUGUUACUGGGUCUCCCUGUGUACUUAUGGCAUUAUUUCCAUGGUCAUCAUGUUCUUAGGUGCCAAACAUUGACAGAAGUCUUCAUAUGCCUUGGGGUCAGAUACUGUAGGACCUUGCUUGUGAGGAAGCCAUGCAUUUAGUCUUGUGAGAAUGGGUGGUCUGGGCCAGCCUCAGGCUCUGGUGUUGGGUAGGAAAAAGCCCAAGAGCCUAAAAGGGAAGGGAAGCUGAUAAUAGGCAAGUUCCUAGGGUUGGAAGGUUUACCAGCAGUCUGGUGUAGCCCCCCAUCAAGACAAACCCACAGUCAUCCUGGGUGCCUACCAAGCUUGGUUUGUACAAAAGCAAGGUAGGAGUCUAUUUUUGUACUUGAGAUGUAUCACGCUUUUCUUUGGGCCAGUGUUGUGGACUGAGUGAGUUUACACUGAUGCCUUCCUUCCCUGCCCAUCACAAAUUGUGUACAUAGCCUCAAAUGACACUCCUUCCUCAUGCCCCCUCCCCAGCUCCCCCUCAAGAGCUGGUUCUGGGCCUGUGUUAUAUUUAGGCUUUUUAUAUAUGAUCUUUGAUUUGUUUGUAUUCUGGCACAGCGUGUGCAUCUCCCUUUAAAUAUAUUUGUGUAUGUAUAUAUGCAUAUACCUGCAUAUGCAUAUCUGUCUGUAGUUUCUCAAGUUCAGCCUAUGGAGGAGUUCUGCAACCCAGGAAAAAGACUUCAUCCUUGCUAAUAGUGUUUGCCACAAGUGUUAGUCUUCUCUAUUAUUACCUUUUUCCCUUUGGAAGACUAAAUAAAUGCUUCUAGUGUUUGUUGUUUCCCAUGGCAGCUAAGUGAGGGUCUUGGGACGACUCUCCGGUGUUCUUUAAGCCGCACUUUGGAGCCCUCUCCACAGUAUUACUCUGUUUUUUGCCUGGUGAUGCUCUGCGCUUACAUAUGUUGUGACAGUCAUUUCUGCAUGGCUUCUGUGCCUGGCUUGCAGCAUUUGGGAACAGGAUGCUGGAACCAAAGUAUUUUUAAUUUGAGGCUACUUUGCCAGUUAUAGGUCAUUCUCACUUAGCUUGUGUAUCUCCUUUCUUGCUUUUUGUUGCCUCCUAUUGAAACAAGGGGCUCUAGCUAGGCCCAGGUUGAGAUGAACUACAGACAGGCCAUGGCCUUUUCUUCCCUUUCAUGGUCAUCUUGGAGCAGAGCAAGUGGCAUCUUACUAAGCUCCCAACCACAUGUUUAUGUAGGCAACACUCCCUGCAGAUCCAGAAAUCGGCCCAACAAAGUUACAACUUUCCCAAGGGUUUACAGCUGCUGGAACUAAAUCAAACCAUCACUGCUUCUGUUCAGCAGCUGGCAGAAGCUAUGAAUGAUUAGCCCAUUUUGCUUAAAGCAAUUACUUUCUGACUUGUUAAAAGGUAAGAUUAUAUAUUUUUCCCAAAAGUAGAUAAAAUGUGCAACUACCACCAGGCCACUACCCUGUGUAGUUCUGCCUUCCUGAAGUAUGGGGACUUUAGGAACCAAAUGAUCUGAGCUGUUAACUGCCUACCUUUUUAAGAUAGAAAAUACGUGUUAGGACUAACUUGGAGAGAGCGCUUGAAGUCACGGGAUAACAAGAAAGGCCAUGUAACUUUCAUGUCUGUAACAAUGGAAUGACUUGUCCAGCAAAAGGAAGAAUUUGUAUUUGAGUUCCUGUGUCCAAAGCUAAAGCACCAUGUCCUUUGAAAAUAUGACACCUCACAGCCUCUACUGCUGUGGAGGCACUACAGUUGGCUCCAGAGUUGCUGAGAAAAGAAAAUGUGCAGCUGGACGUGACCUGAGGCACUGGGGUGAUGAAGAUAAGAGAAAAAGAAGGAUUCAGGCUGAGAGCUGUGCUGUGGGGAUGUGUCGGUGGCAGCCAGAGGUGCUUAAGCUCCUCACUGGGGCAGAGCUGCUCAUCACCUUCUGAAAACUCAAGGCCAAAGCCACUGCUGUGUACGUGACAGUGAUAUUGUACUGCUGAUCCACCAGCCAGUAGGGUGUCUUAAAUAUUCCCUGUUGCAAUCAUAAUUAUUGCUUAUUUUUAAAAAUUUAGGAAUUUAUACAAUCAGUUUGCUACCCAAAUGCUACAUAGCACUGUUAAUCUUGAUGUUCAGAGUUCCUCUAGACAUUUCUGUGCAUAGAUUUUUGGUGUGUUUACAUAGUUGUUCUACUGUACAUACGAUUUUAUGUCCCUUUUGUACUUAACAUAUAAACAUUUUUUUCCAUGUUA